CAGUCGCCGCGGUAAUACGAAGGGUGCAAGCGUUAAUCGGAAUUACUGGGCGUAAAGCGUGUGUAGGUGGUUGUUUAAGUCUGUCGUGAAAGCCCUGGGCUCAACCUGGGAAUUGCGAUGGAUACUGGGCGACUAGAGUGCGGUAGAGGAUAGUGGAAUUUCCGGUGUAGCAGUGAAAUGCGUAGAGAUCGGAAGGAACAUCUGUGGCGAAGGCGACUAUCUGGGCCAACACUGACACUGAGACACGAAAGCGUGGGGAGCAAACAGGAUUAGAUACCCGUGUAGUCCCUGUCUCUUAUAC
rnacentral:rRNA from 1 species